CACCGCCUCGCGCGCCUGCCCGCCUCUCUCUUUUCUUCCCACCCCCACGCGCCGCGCCGUCGUGUCUCACAGACGCUGUGGAGCCGGGAGGAGGCCGGAAAAGGGGUAGAAGCCGAAGGAGCUGCCGCUUCCGCCUGCCUUGCCGCUAGCUUUUUGCGCCGCCCCUCUUUUCUGUGUUUCCGCGCAGUCCGUCAGGUGGCGGGCCUCACGACCCCGUGCGUUUUUCAUUCUGACCUGAGGGGUUAUCCUGGGCCUGAGUAAAUGUGGAGUUGAGUUUGAGAAGCCCUAGGACUAGAUUUUCUAACUUUCGCUUCUGCUGUGGCACGGGACCCGCAACGUUGCCAUCUCUUAUGUUGAAGGGGAAACAGGCUUUGCGAGGCCGCACUCCUGCUUUCUGCUAGUUCACUAACGUUUGCUAAGUCAUUCUUCUGUAAUUCUUGCCGAGGCGGUCUUAUGUAAGUCUAGAGGCGUCCCUGGCAUGUAGCCACUAUUGUUCGCCACCGCUAGAAAAGCCCUGUCCCCCACCACGGGGCGAGGAGAUCUGCUUAGUCAUGCUGCUGCCCAGGACGUUCCUCGCAUGUAUGGCCUACUCUGCUUUCUUCCUUUCUGGGCAGCCAACAUCUUCCUAGAGUGGGCUCACAGCUUCACCACAGUCCACAACGAAAGAAGUAGUUGGAUCUGUGGACAAUUCCCCGUCUCAAGUGCCAAAGCCUUGCCUUGGAGUGUGGAGCUCCUGCCUGGAAACAAUUGGGCAGCUAUGGGAGACAUGGGGAGGCAGUAUUAAAGCCUUUUAACUAAUUGGGGUAUAACAGGAGGGAUGUGUACGACAUCAUCUUUUCCUGGACUCAGACUGUUGCAGACACCCACAUCUUAGUAAGAGAUUGCAACACUUCUCAGUUGCAGCCAUGAGAAGGUAUUUACAAACUCUGGGUUGGUUUAGGUUGUUUAGUACCUGUCAUGGAUUGAAUUUUGUCCCCUCCCAAAAUGUAUGUAUAAGUUUGGCUGGGCCAUGAUUCCCCAUAUUGUGUGGUUUUCCUCUAUUUUGCGAUUGUAAUGUUAUGUUAGAGAGGAUUAGGGUGGAAUUGUAAUUUUAUGUUAAAGAGGAUUAGGGUGGGAUUGUAACACCCUUACCAGGUCACAUCCCUGAUCCAAUGUAAAGGGAGUUUCCCUGGGGUGUGACCUGCACCACCUUUUAUCUCUCAAGAGAUAAUAGCGAAGGGAAGCUAGCAGAGAGUGUGGACAUCAUACCACCAAGAAAGGAGCUCUGGGAGCAGAGUGAGUCCUUUGGACCUGAGGUUCCUGUGCUGAGAUGCUCCCAGAACAAGGGAAGACUGAUGUCAAGGACCUUCCACCAGAGCCGACAGCAAGAAAGCCUUCCCCUGGAUCUGGUGCCCUGAAUUCGGACUUCUAGCCUACUGGACUGUGAGAGAAUAAACUUCUCUUUGUUAAAGCCAUCUACUUGUGGUAUUUCUGUUACAGCAGUGCUAGAUGACCAAGACAGUACCCGAACAGGGUAUGUUAGGGAAACCUACUUCUGUCUGUUCUGAACCAAGUAAAACCCCAUGAGGUCCCCUGUAUCCCUCCAAUUCCUCCUCCCACAUAGUGGGCUGGACUCCUGGGUCCCACUGCCAAUGGGUGAUAAUGCCUAAUACCACUGAAUGGUUACAGUAUAAAAACCCCAAUGGGACUGCAGGAGAGUACCUUGCUCCUAACAGCACUCAAUGGCUGUGUGGCCACUACUUGUGGCCUUGGUUUACUGUAUGAUUGGAUAGGGUGCUGCACUUUGGAGUUACCUUAUGCUGCAGGAACCAUUAGAAAAACUAUACCAAAACCUUUGAACUACCCAUCAGUAAAAGCCAGGUGGACCGAGCAUAGUCUUUUCCACUGGCGUGAUUUCCUUUUAAAUGUUUUUGUUCCCCCGUUGGCUCCUUAGAAGUAAUGGGACAAAUUGAAGCUAUAAUUUUACUAAACAGGGCCUGAACAAUAGCAGAGGAAGCUUGUGGCCAUUGACCGAUAAAACCACCCAAAUGUGGAAGGUAGUCCUUCAGAACUGAAUGAUUCUAGACAUUCUAAUGGCUGGCCACUCAAGGGAGGACAUGUGCCAUAGUAAAAACUGAAUGUUAUACCUAUAUACCAGACUACCCACAAAACGUAACUGAUUUUUUAGGACAUAUUAAGAAACAGAUAGAAGCCUUGAACACACCUGAUGUCUGGUCUGCUGUGGCCACCUGGUUUUCCUCUUUCUCUUCUGGCUGGUGAGGUAUUUUGUUGGGUCUUUGUCUUUUCCUGGUGUGAUCAUUAAGGUUGCGUGUCAACUUGGCUGGGCCAUGAUUCUCAGUGGUUUGGUGGUUAAGAUGUAGUUUGGCAGUUGUAUAAUGAUAAAAUCACCUCCAUAAUGAGAUUUGAUAUAAUGCCAUCACCUCCAUGAUGUGAUCGGCUGUGAGUAGCCAAUUAGUUGAAAGGGAGUUUCCUUGGGGGUGUGGCCUGCAUCAAAUAUAGGUGGACUUUCUGGCAAGGUUCGCUGAAUUUUGCUCACUCAGAAUCCUGCCGCUGGCUCCUGUUUGUCUGACCUCUGAUUCUUGGAACUUGAGCUAGCAGCUUACCUGCCAUCUUGCCUGCUGAUCUCGGGAUUUGUCAGUCACUGCAGCCAAAGAGUCAGAGCCUUGCUGCCUGACCUGCCAAUCUUGGGUCAGCGCCUGCAGCUACGUGAGUCGGAAGAAGCUUCCAACCUGAGCCAGGGACUUGGGACUUUCCAGCUUCUACAGCUGGUGAGCCAUUUCCUUGAUAUAAAUCUCUCUGUGUAUAUAUUCAUACACUUUACUGGUUUCACUUCUCUAGACAGCCCAGCUUAAGACAUUUGGGUAUAUUGAUUUCCUGCUGUUUGUCUAUAUUGUUGGUGUGGUCUGUGCCUCCCAAUGACAGCAAAGCUGUCUGUCCCUACCUGCAAAGGGACCUUGCUGAAGAGGGAGAAUGUGCCAGACUGUAAGAGCUGACCUCAAGGGGUAGAAUGAAGGGGAAACAGGCUUUGCAAGACCGAACAUGGCUGCCGUUAUUCUUUCUGCUAGUGCACUGCCAUUUGCUAAGUCAUUCUUAUGUAAUUUAUGCUAAGGCAGCCUUAUGUAAGUUUACAGCCAUCCCUGGCAUGUAGUCAUUAUUGUUCUCCACCACUAUAAAACCCCUGGUUCCCACUGUGGGGUGAAGAGAUCUACUUGGUCCUGCUGCUGCCCAGGACUUUCCUUGUAUGUAAGUCUCCCUAAUAAACCCCUUUGCUGCCACACUGGAGUUGCCUGCCUCUUUCUUCAGUCUCUUGGUGCCCCUCCAUUUUUGGAGACAAGUUUCACGUUACUGGUCCCUGCCAGGAUAUAUAUAUAUAAAACCCACUGCUGUUGAAUCGAUCCUGAGUUGCUGUAUAUAUAUACAUACAUAUAUAUGUACGGCAACUAACAACAGCUACUACGUUUUGUCUUUAGCCUAAGAGACCUUAGGCGUGCUAUAGCUGCCCAAACAUGGGACCGGUGGGAUCAGAGUUCCAGCCUCGCUGCACUUACAGGGUUUUCAGGGAGCACCAGGAGUGAACUAGUCAUUAACAGGCUUCUCCAAGCAGUCUGGAUGCCAGAAUCAUCUAGCCCAAGGCUGAGUUCUAUAAAACCACACUUUUCACACAGAACUAUUUGCCUUGUCAGGAAGACAAGCAGCUACAGAGGAGUGAUAGCAACAAGAUGAGAAAGAGGAGAUCAAGGUGUGUUCUCCAUAUUUAAGUGCCAGGCAUCUUCUCAAUCUGUUCUGAGAACAAGACACAAUGUCCUGGACACUGUAUGCUUUCCACCUGACCCUGCACACAUAAACACAACCCUCCUCCUGGAAGGGAAAGUAAACCCAGAGCAAAGAGAGGCACAUCAACUGGCUUUGUCCAGCAGUUUCUGCCCUCAGAGAAAAAUAAAUAAGAUUCAGUUCCUCCUCUCAAAGAGUCUACAUCUAAUAGAGUUGAAGAGGCUUCCACAAAUAACCACAAUGCCAAGGAGUGUGUGAUAAGUGCCACAAAAUGUGUGAACCAAGCUUUGUAGGAGUGCCAGGCACAACCUCCAGCUGUAAAAGGCAUCCUUUGACAUGAGCAGAAUUCGAGUGUGGUCUUGAAGAAAGUGUUGGAAGUGUAGACAUGGGCGUGCAUGUUAUAGGAGAGGAGACUGCAAGGAUCAGAAGAGAAUUUCUGGAACUGACAGAGCAGGAUCAGGAUGGGGAUUAGGACAAUGGAGCAAUGGGCAGACAACUAAAAGAGCCUAAGGGGAUAAAAGACUGGAAAGGAGACUGGAGAGAUUUCAGGUCCUGCCUGAAAUGGCAGGCAGAUAUUGGAGGAGGUUUUAGAGCAGAGAGGAAAUGGCUGAGGUUGCUUCACACCCACGGUACAGUGGUGUAGCCCAGAGACCCAUUAGAAACCUCUCACUGUGGAGGUGAUUUCAAGGGAGGAAAAGAGAUAAACAAAUGAGCCAUGCUCGGUGUUGGGUGGAGGAAGGGGGCAGGGGGCUGGCCCAGAGAAGGCGUGGUAGGUUAUUUGAACAGAUUUCCUAUUUUUUUUAUGUUGAGUUUUGACUAAUCAAAAUUAGUUUGCACUCCCUGAAACAUUAUGCACUAUCUGGAAACAGAAACCUCUUGGCAGCUGGCUAGGUAGUAGGGGAAAGUAAACUUGGAAUUAAAACUGCCUUGAAUAACUGCAUGGGGACCCUGAGUGGCGAAAACAUUUGGUGCUGUGCUGCUAAUCUAAAGGAACUAGAAACAAUGAACAUCUGUCUGUGUGUUCCUGCUAUUGUGGGAGUGACCUACCAACUUGGAAGGAAAUGACAAGAGUGAGUGAUUCAGCCUGGGUAACACCCAAGACCCAGGGCUGUGUUCUGUGAGGCCACUUUGACCUGGGGAGAAGUGUAAGCCACAUAUCCUGCCCAGGCCUUAUAAACAAACCCCAGGACUGGACAACCCACCCACUGCAGGGGGCCUUGGGUCACAAGUUGUUUUUGUUGUUGUAUGCUGUUGAGUCAAUUCCAACUCAUAGCAACCCUAUAGAACAGAGUAGAACUGCCCCCAUAGAGUUUCCUAAGUUGUAAUCUUUACGGGAAGAGAUUGCCAGGUCUUUUCUCCUGUGGAGCAACUGGUGAGUUCAAACCAUUAACCUUUCAGUCAGCAGCCAAGCGCUUAGCCACAUAAGCAGGAGAGAAAGCAGGAAGGGAACUGGAGGGAACAGGCCUGGCUGAUUGGUCACUUGCUAUGGGAUCUUGGACUACGACAGUCCAGCUGUGGAUUUGUAAGCCUGGGUGUGGGAACAUUAAGUUUUAUUUGGUUCCAAAUCAGAAAGUUCCUGCCUUGGUGGUACCACAGCUUACCCUACACUAACUGGACUUGGCCCUCCCAAGUUGUCUUUGGUCCAAACUUGGCCAGCAAUCACAGAGCACACAUAGCAGACUUGUUCCUUCAGUAUUCACAAAUACUGGGCACAUUUUAAUCUGAGGUGACCGUGAAUGAGAAAUAUUUUUGGUCCCUUCUUGCCUGUGCUUCCUGAACCUGCCUAAGGAGAUUACAAAAAAGUAAAAGGCUCUAGAAAUAUACUUUAGAAGAGCAAAAUGUUUCAUCAGAGAUCCCUGGGUAGCACAAAUGGCUUGCAUUCAGCUACUAACCUAAAGGUUGAUGGUUCAAACCCACCCAGCAGUGCCAUGAGAAAAGGCCUGACAAUCUUCUUCCUUAAAGAUUACAGCCAAGAAAACCCUAUGGAGCAAUUCUACUCUGUAACACCUGGGGCUGCCAUGAGUCAGAAUUUCUAACCUCUGUUAUGCAAGGAUUAGGUUACUGGGGCUGGUGACAGAGGCAAAAAAAAAGAAACAAAAACUGAACAAGCCUCACAGGAAGUAAGAUUGAGGUGAUUCUAGAAAGGUGUAGAUACCUUUCCUGCAUUGGAAACUCAUUUUGUUGUGCAGAUUCCAUUCUGGUUGUGCCACUGCUUGUGGCCAACCCCGUUUGGGUAGGGAAGGUGUGGCACCCUAGGUUCAGGUGUAGCCAGUGUCUUCUCUUCCUCCUCUAAUUCCAUUACCAUGGAUGUCUUAAUCACGAACAAGUAUUUACAGGUUACUUUGUGUGUGUUGCUUGCCCCUUGCACAGAGUAAAUUCUCAGUAGGCAUUUCUUGGAUGAAUGAAUUAACGAAUUAUCUAGAUACUAGUUAUUCUUUCAUUUGACUAAUAGUACUCGGUGUCCCUACCUUCUAGGGGUUCACAGCCAGCGUGGUUGGGGAAGAUGGUUACACAUGUAAUUAUAGUGUUGUAUGAUAAAAAUGCUACAAGAACACAGAGGGUCCAGAGGAUUGUGCUGCAGACGCUUCACUGGGAAGGGAACUUAAGCAACUGGAGUAGGGAGCAAAUGUAUAUUUAACAUUCCUCUUGGUUGUUGAGGAUGCAUGACGAGGUCUGCAAGUUAUGCUUGGGGCCAGGCCUUUAAAUUCACACACACGCACACACAAGUACAUGCCAGGGACUGUGGAGACUGGGAUAACAGAUUCUUCCUCUGCAGGGAGACUCAGAUCCCUUUACCAGCCUCCCUGUGGAGCCAGGUGACCUGCAGGACUGUAGAACACUCCCCAAGGUGAGCUUCAUGAGCCUCUGAAGGCUGCUCAGAGCUCUAGGCAUCAAAUGGGCCUGCUUUAUGGACUCCUAUCCCUGGGUGGCUCAAAUGGUUAAGCAUUCAACUACUAGCCAAAAGGUUAGCAUUUCAAACCCACCCAGAGGCACCUUGGAAGACAGGCCUGGUGAUCUGCUUCCAAAAGGUCCCAGCCUUGAAAACCCUAUGGAGCAGUCCUACCCCCCACACAUGUGGUCAUUAUGAAUUGGAAUUGACUUGAUGGUAACUGACAACUACAACAACCCUGUCCUUUUAGAUCGCAACUACAUUAGAACUGGGAGGGGUACUGGGGACAGGGUCUCUGUCUACAGAAUGAAUGAUGAAAGACUGGUGGGUCCCUCCCCAUACACCACUGUUAUGUCAUGUCAUACCAGUCUCGGUACUUCUGGUUGCAAGUAAGAGAAUACCCAGAAGCAAGUGGCCUACCCAGUUUGUGAUUUUUGUUUUCUCACAUGACAAGUCUGGAGUUGAGGUCUUGGAGAAGUCAAAGCUGAAGGGUGUCAAGGCUACAGGAGCACAGAGGGUCAUGCUUCUCUGUGGCCCUCUUGGCCUUCCUUCCUUUCAAGAUCCUGAGGUGGCUGCCUUGAUGGCCAGGAUUCUAGGUACCCUCAACAAUGCCCCCCACCAAAAAGGGAGGGAGGAACCUUCCCCUCUGAUACCUCAUAGGAUCAUGGGAGCUUUCCCAGGAACCCCUGCACUUUUCUGAGCCAAGACCUGGUCAUCUGCCCCUACCUUUGCAGUCAGUGAUGCUGACUAGGAAAGCAGAUUCUGCCAGGAAUUUGGCUAGGAAGCUCAGCCAGGAGAAAGGCUUGGGAAUGGCUGUUGGAUAGAGAGCAGCAGUGUCUCUGAUUUGUGCACUACCCCUCUGGGAAACAGUGAGGAUUAUGCCAUCCCACUGCCAGGGCCCAUGAGGCCUCACUCCUUCUCUCGUUUGUGCCCCUGUAGUGAAUUUAAGGGAAUUUUGGGGGGGAUUAAGGAAAAAUAUAUGACCGUGAGAUAGGAGGGUUGCACAACAAGCUAUUAAUUGGGCCCUGUGCCCUGGUGGUGCAAUGGCUAAGUCCUUUGCUGCUAUUGGCUGCUAACCAAAAGGUUGGUGGUUUAAACCCCCCAGCCGCUCAACAGGAAAAAAGACCUGGUGAUCUGCUCCUAUAAAGAUUACACCCUAAGAAACUCUAUGGGGGCAGUUCUACUGUCAUAUAAGGUCAUUAUGGGUUGGGAUCAACUUGGUAGCACACAACAACAGCAAAAACAUGCAUUGAUAAGGUUUUGUGCUUAUCUACUAAUCUAAAGGUUGACAGUUCAAACCCACCCAGCAACACUGUGGAAGAAAGGCCUGGCAAUCUGUUUUCAAGAAAAGCCCAUGGAGCAGCUCUACUCUGUAACACAUGCGGUCGCCAUGAGUCAGAAUUGACUGGACAGAAACAGAUUUGGUUUACAAACUGACAGCCUCAAGGAGGGGGGCUGGAGGCCUUCCAAAGGCCAGGGAGCCAUCAGAAGGGAAAGAGGCAUGAAACACCCCAGGAAGAGGAAUGAUGUCCUCCUGUAGAAAGGUAGGGAGUCUCCGGACCAGAAUUCUGAAGGCCAGAUGCAGUUGAAGGUCCUUACAACCACAGGGUUUUAUCUUAUCUGGGGCUAGCAGAUGCUGGGUGCAGUUUCAUGGGGUAUGUAAACAGGCAGGCUCUAAGGGUUAAAAAUCUGCUUAUCUGGGCUAUUUUAAAACAAAUUUGAGUUUGGCAAUUGGCAGGCUUUUUUGGGCUAAUUGGUUUCAGCUUGCUAUGAGUAAGUAAAUAAUUUGCAGCCGAUAUACAGAGGCCAUUUUUGGCUCAUUUGUAUAAUGACCCCCAGCUGCCAAUCUGACAGUGUCUGAAGUAAAACAGGUGUUGGGUAACUCCUAUGAUCAGCUACAGCUGGACUUCAUUUUAGUAGCCAGCCCAGGUAUGUCAUACCGUGCAUGAAAGAAUGCUCUUUGGUGAGUGUAAUAACAAAAACCUGCCAAGUCCAGAGUAAUCUGACAGGGAUCAUGGCCUGUUCUUUAUAAAUCCAUGCUGUGUUCUCUUGGGGAAAUUUUUAGGCAGUAUUUUUUACUUAGUAUUGCCCCAAAGUUAAAUCUUAAGAAAUUUAUUAAGCUUACCAGAGUAGGAAUGCUUCUCUGAAAAUAAGCUUGCUUUAUUGUUCUUUUGGGGAACUACUCUGAGACGGUUAGAAGAAGGAAGUCAUCUGAUCAAGGGCUAAUUGUGCAAGAAGUGCCUGACCUAGUUUUAUCAGAAUUAAUCUUAAAAACAAAGCAAGGCAGGCCCAUCUUCUUCUCAGGUCUGUUGUCUAAAUACUGCUGCCCACUCCCAGAGCAAACAGAGUCCUAUAGCCCAAGGCCAGGACCUCCUGCAGGCUCACUGUGAUCCCUACUCUUUUACUUAUUAAUUUGAACUGAUGAUUCACAAUGGGGUGGGGUGAGUCAGGUCAGGGCCAGUAGCAGUUACACCUUCGAAUGAUAAAGGAUCCAUGUGCUGGAGCGCUUGCUCAAGAGUGCUAACGUUAUUGGGUAAAGAUGUCCAGUUCCUUUUAGAGGAAGCUAUUGAAGUUUUAGAAAAAAAAAAAAAUUUUUUUUUUUUUAUUGAAGUUUUAACUGGUUUUACUCCGAGUCUUCCUGAAGGAGAGGGUUAGGAAGGACUUUCAGUUAAGGGAAGCAGGUAGCUUGGAGUCUGAGGAGGGAUGUUCCCCAGCCAGGGUCAGCCACAUUGGAAGCUUGGCAGCUCCCUUCCUUGGCAGCCCAAAGGAUAAGCUGAGAGGCAAAACAAGUGGGUGAGAAGGGGUGAGUCACCAGGCACCCUUGGGGACAAGCCUGGAGUUAGUCGGAAAGCCCUGGGUUCCCAUCCUGAACCUAACCAGAGAUUGUGGCCUGGGCCGCACUGAACCAGAGGAGAAAGGGUUAAGUGGGAGCGUGAAAUCUCUCCUUGUAGGUCCAGCUGGUAGGUCAAUUAGCAGGACCUUAGGUCUCCAGACUUUCCAAAAUGGCAUCUCUGAAGGUGGGCUGUGGAACGUUUUACCAAGAACGGGGCCUUGGCUAUCUGGUUUCAGCUCCAGCUGCCCCCUACCUGCCCCAAAACUACACUUGCUGAAAGACACUCAAUCCAGUGACACCUGUCCCAGCUGACCAUUCUUCUUCAUGAAAUGUCCCUUCCCUCAGAGCCUUAACUCUGUCUUUGCUCCUCUGCAGCUGCCUCUUCCCAACCUGACCUGGAAAAAGUGUGACUCAUAGGCCUCAGGUGUAGGCCCCCUGACUUUUUUUCUUGCCACUCUUUCCAGGUGAUCUUAUCCUCUUCAGUGGCUACUGUACCUUGGCCAGACCUUUGCCUCCAACUCAUAGUCCACCUGCCCCAGAUAUGUCCAUCUGGAUGUCUUAUGCAACAUAUCCAAAUCUGAACACAUUCCCCCUCCACAAAACUUGCUCCUCCUUGUGUAGCCAGUCUGUCAACGAUGCGACCUUCCCACCUCAGGCCCUCACUUGCUGUUACUGCUGCCUGGCCACCCCUCCUUGAGCUGCUUCUUGACCUCUAUUCAGCUUCACUGUCACUUCCUCCAGGAGGCAAGCAUGAUCCUCUCAAUUGGGCCAGGCCCUUUUAUUUAUUUAUUCGCAAAGCAUCCUGUACUACCUUGUAGAACUAAACACGCUUUUAGUAAUUAUCUUCCUUCUGCCUUCCUAAGAACUGUAUCGCUGGCAUCCAGCAGAGGACCCGGCACAGAAGGGCUGAAUGAAUGCUGCAGUGAGGGAGUAAAGGGCUUUUGAGGAAGAGAGGGAUAUGGCACUAAGAGGGGGUCACGAAUGACCUGGGUGUACCCAGAUAUACCCAGGUGUACAAGUUACUCUUCAUUCCAGGAGUCAUAUCUGGAAUCUGAAAAAAAAAGGUACAGCAUGGCUUUCAAAAAUCUCCAUCUCCUAGUCUGAGUGGGCAUUUUCCUAUUUAUAUUGAUUGAAAAAUGUUUGCUGGUGCAUAUAUGGCGGGCUCCAUGGGCCCUGAGAUGGCCAGCCCCAGUCCAUCCCUUAGGCUUUCACCCUUUGGGGAUGCAGACCCAUCGCUCACAGAUGUAAUCAAGACUCCUGAGGAGCACAGGGAAAGCACAGAGUUCUGCCUGAGUCACUUCAGGGGACACUCAAAAGCUGAGAAGGUAGAAAGGCCUUGUGGCCAGAUGGGCCUGUACAGGUGCUCUCCUGAGGUAGGAGGGAGACAAACCAGAGUAGGUGCAGAGGGCCCUUCAUCCCCCAGUGACUUGAGGGCGGAGCGGAAGGGCAGCAGCACAAAGAUCCCUGCUUAGGGCCCAAUAGGCCAUUCUUGAGCCAGCUGGUUCAGGUGUAGGAAGGGACUUGAGACACAAUUGAAGCACCAACCCAGGAACUCCUGAACUUCCGACCCAUGUUUGAGGCUUGCUGAGUGACCCUGCCAACUUCCCUCUGGAUCCAUCUGGCCAAGCAGAAGCUGCACCCAGGCCCUGCAGUGUACCCUGCACAAUGACAGCAAAUGACUCCAGGUCUGUCUCAAAUGAUUACUGGCAGCAGGGCCAACAGAUGGGGAGCUUGGACUAAAGCUGUGCCUGAGAAGCAGCAGCUGAUCUCCAAGAUGUGCCCCUAUCUCGUGUCUGACUGUGCAAUUCACGCCUGCCAGAUGCUGGGCAGGGCAUAAUCAGAAGGGCCAGUUAAACUGUACACACUCCUUGCUCUAAAUACAAGAGAGGCAACAACUGGUAGGAACAAUGGAUAGCCAUAUGGAAAGAUCUAGCAAAGGGAAAAGAACUUGUAACAUUGCACUAGGCUUCCAGCUGUGUUAAAUGAGUUUGUGUGGUCUCGACACUAGGAAAGCUCACAGACUGAAUGUUUCUGGGGGCCCAUCAUGUUAUUUUUGUGAAGGUCAUUUCAGUGUCCAACAAAUAUCCAGAAAAAGAGAAGCCUACGACUUGGUGGCAGAGAGUCAGCCACUGCCUUGUCUCUCUUUUUCGGAAUAAGGACUUUCUGUUAUCAUAGUGCCUUGGGAUAGCUCUAUUGCAUCCCCUGGCAGAUGGAGAAACGCAGGAAUAGGAAGGAGCCUGGCUUCCCACACACACACAAAAAAAGUGGAUUCCAUACGCUGCAGAUAAAAGAAUGUUCAGGCUUGACCAGGACACUCGCCAUGGGGGAGGAGAGAGGGCUUAAGAUUACCAGGAAGGCCAAUGCUGAAGGACAUACACACGGUUUAGCUUACCCCUGGAAUUUUAUUAGUGGAGAGAUUUGUCUUGGUUUGGGAGGGGAAGCUGGGAUGGACAGGACCGGCACCUAUCUGGGGGGUAUCUUCCCAGACAUCAGGUGUUCCUCCAUUCAGGUUUAGAGAAAACACCCUCAUUAAU